GCUCGGAUGGCGGAACAGGCAGACGCAGCGGACUCAAAAUCCGCCGACCUCACGGUCAUGGGGGUUCGAUUCCCCCUCCGAGCACCA
rnacentral:tRNA from 3 species